rnacentral:rRNA from 1 species
UACGGGGGGAGCAAGCGUUGUUCGGAUUUACUGGGCGUAAAGGGCGCGUAGGCGGUAGCACAAGUCAGUUGUGGAAAUCUCCGGGCUUAACUCGGAAAGGUCAACUGAUACUGUGCGACUAGAGUGCAGAAGGGGCAACUGGAAUUCUCGGUGUAGCGGUGAAAUGCGUAGAUAAUCGAGAGGAACACCUGCGGCGAAGGCGGGUUGCUGGGCUGACACUGACGCUGAGGCGCGGAAAGCCAGGGGAGCGAACAGG